ACGGGAGGCAGCAGUGAGGAAUAUUGGUCAAUGGGCGAGAGCCUGAACCAGCCAAGUAGCGUGAAGGAUGACGGCCCUAUGGGUUGUAAACUUCUUUUUCCGGGGGAUAAAGUGACCCACGUGUGGGUUAUUGCAGGUACCCGGUGAAUAAGGACCGGCUAAUUCCGUGCCAGCAGCCGCGGUAAUACGGAAGGUCCGGGCGUUAUCCGGAUUUAUUGGGUUUAAAGGGAGCGUAGGCCGUGCUUUAAGCGUGUUGUGAAAUGUAGGCGCCCAACGUCUGCACUGCAGCGCGAACUGGAGCACUUGAGUACGCAGGAAGUAGGCGGAAUUCGUCGUGUAGCGGUGAAAUGCUUAGAUAUGACGAAGAACUCCGAUUGGGAAGCCAGCUUACUGUAGCGCCACUGACGCUGAUGCUCGAAAGCGUGGGUAUCGAACAGGAUUAGAUACCCUGGUA
rnacentral:rRNA from 1 species